GACGAACGCUGGCGGCGUGCUUAACACAUGCAAGUCGAACGGAAAGGCCCUGCUUUUGUGGGGUGCUCGAGUGGCGAACGGGUGAGUAACACGUGAGUAACCUGCCCUUGACUUUGGGAUAACUUCAGGAAACUGGGGCUAAUACCGGAUAGGAGCUCCUGCUGCAUGGUGGGGGUUGGAAAGUUUCGGCGGUUGGGGAUGGACUCGCGGCUUAUCAGCUUGUUGGUGGGGUAGUGGCUUACUAAGGCUUUGACGGGUAGCCGGCCUGAGAGGGUGACCGGCCACAUUGGGACUGAGAUACGGCCCAGACUCCUACGGGAGGCAGCAGUGGGGAAUAUUGCACAAUGGGCGGAAGCCUGAUGCAGCAACGCCGCGUGCGGGAUGACGGCCUUCGGGUUGUAAACCGCUUUCGCCUGUGACGAAGCGUGAGUGACGGUAAUGGGUAAAGAAGCACCGGCUAACUACGUA
rnacentral:rRNA from 1 species